AUUGAACGCUGGCGGCAUGCCUUACACAUGCAAGUCGAACGGCAGCACGGGUGCUCGCACCUGGUGGCGAGUGGCGAACGGGUGAGUAAUACAUCGGAACGUACCUUAUCGUGGGGGAUAACGCAGCGAAAGCUGUGCUAAUACCGCAUACGCCCUGAGGGGGAAAGCGGGGGAUCGCAAGACCUCGCGCGAUUAGAGCGGCCGAUGCCUGAUUAGCUUGUUGGUGGGGUAAAAGCCCACCAAGGCGACGGUCAGUAGCUGGUCUGAGAGGACGAUCAGCCACACUGGGACUGAGACACGGCCCAGACUCCUACGGGAGGCAGCAGUGGGGAAUUUUGGACAAUGGGGGCAACCCUGAUCCAGCAACGCCGCGUGAGUGAAGAAGGCCUUCGGGUUGUAAAGCUCUUUUGUCAGGGAAGAAACACCGGCUCUAACACAGUCCGGGAAUGACGGUACCUGAAGAAUAAGCACCGGCUAACUACGUGCCAGCCGCCGCUGUAA
rnacentral:rRNA from 1 species